CACGCUCGGUUCUCGUUCGAUCACCGAAGUUAAGCAUCGUAGAGCCAGGUCAGUACUUAGAUGGGGGACCGCUUGGGAACACCUGGUACUGUAAGC
rnacentral:rRNA from 1 species